rnacentral:rRNA from 1 species
CCCCAGAAAGACUAUCUGGUUGAUAGGUCGAAGGUGUAAGUGCAGCAAUGUAUUUAGCUUAUCGAUACUAAUAGGUCGAGGACUUGACCAAUAUUUAUU